rnacentral:ncRNA from 1 species
CUCUUAUGAAGAGUGGCGGAGGGAAGUGCCCUGUGAAGCCCGGCAACCAACACGAAAGUGGAAAGGUGCCAAAUCACCCAAAGAAAUAUCUAUUUUCUUUGACAGAUGAGAG